rnacentral:rRNA from 1 species
UACGAGGGGGGCAAGCGUUGUUCGGAAUUAUUGGGCGUAAAGGGCGCGUAGGCGGUGCGGUAAGUCACCUGUGAAGCCUCUAGGCUUAACCUAGAGCCUGCAGGCGAAACUGCCGUGCUUGAGGGUGGGAGAGGUGCGUGGAAUUCCCGGUGUAGCGGUGAAAUGCGUAGAUAUCCGGAGGAACACCGGUGGCGAAGGCGGCUUCCUGGACCGACACUGACGCUGAGGCGCGAAAGCUAGGGGAGCAAACGGG